GAUGAACGCUAGCGGCAGGCCUAACACAUGCAAGUCGAGGGGCAGCACGUCUUCGGAUGGUGGCGACCGGCGCACGGGUGCGUAACGCGUAUGCAACCUACCUCUUACAGUGGGAUAGCCCAGAGAAAUUUGGAUUAAUACCGCAUAGUAUACAGAUUCAGCAUUGGGACUGUAUUAAACAUUUAGUGGGUAAGAGAUGGGCAUGCGUUCUAUUAGUUAGUUGGAGUGGUAACGGCACCCAAGACAGCGAUAGAUAGGGGCCCUGAGAGGGGGAUCCCCCACACUGGUACUGAGACACGGACCAGACUCCUACGGGAGGCAGCAGUGAGGAAUA
rnacentral:rRNA from 1 species